rnacentral:tRNA from 1 species
ACCUGGGUGGCUCAGUCGGUUGAGCGUCUGACUUCAGCUCAGGUCAUGAUCUCUCAGUUUGUGGGUUCGAGCCCCGUGUCGGAUU